AUACGGAGGAUGCAAGCGUUAUCCGGAUUUAUUGGGUUUAAAGGGUGCGCAGGCGGAAAAUUAAGUCAGUGGUGAAAUCCUACAGCUUAACUGUAGAACUGCCAUUGAUACUGAUUUUCUUGAGUGCAGUUGAGGUAGGCGGAAUGUGUAAUGUAGCGGUGAAAUGCUUAGAUAUUACACAGAACACCGAUUGCGUAGGCAGCUUACUAAACUGUUACUGACGCUCAGGCACGAAAGCGUGGGGAGCGAACAGGAUUAGAAACCCGAGUAGUCC
rnacentral:rRNA from 1 species